rnacentral:rRNA from 1 species
UACGAAGGGGGCUAGCGUUGUUCGGAAUUACUGGGCGUAAAGCGCACGUAGGCGGGUCGUUAAGUCAGGGGUGAAAUCCCGGAGCUCAACUCCGGAACUGCCUUUGAUACUGGCGAUCUUGAGAUCGGAAGAGGUGAGUGGAAUUCCCAGUGUAGAGGUGAAAUUCGUAGAUAUUCGGUGGAACACCAGUGGCGAAGGCGACUCGCUGGACUGAUACUGACGCUGAGGUGCGAAAGCGUGGGGAGCAAACAGG